CACACACACACACACACAUACACACAUGAUAAGUAAACAAUUUUAUUUAUAUCUAUUAAAAGGAAGAGGAGCCCCACCCCCACCCCAGCUCUUCAGUGACAGUCACAACCCCACUGCCAGGAUCAAGAACAGAAGCCACAUCUGAUUUUUGUAAUCCCAAAUGCUAAACCUAAGUUCCCCAGAUGUGUCUCAACUCUACGUGAAAUUUGUUCUUCUCAAAUAUGGUCAUUAAAGAAAGACUGGAACUGUUCAAAGCAAGGAGUCCCAAGCCCUGAAGACAGCUUGAAAACAAAGAAGGAAGUCAUGUUUGGCCACAACCAAAAGAACUCACAUACCAAAUGGUUUAAGUUCAACUUGAAAAGGCCACACCAUGGGGCUCGGAUGGUCGCAACAUGGCAACAUAUGUUCUCUGCCCUUGGAGAAAAAGGAGAUCUUACACUGAAAAAGCUCAAGGCCAGUUUUCAACGUGACUACAUGAUCCUGUCAUGCCUGGAGGAAGGUAUCUGAAGAUCGAUUUUACCAGCAUCCCUCUCUGAUGGAGUUUGAAUGACCCUUGGGUGAUUAAUCGCAGCAACUUACAUUUGGAUAUUUUCCAAAUGCUUUCCAGUUUGUUAUCUCUCAUGACCCUUGCAACCACCUCCACAAGAAGAUAAGACAGGUAUUAAUAUGGCUGUUUGACAAGAAGAUAACCAGUUGAAGAGAAUUUAACUAACUGCCCUUCAGGUAAUAGACGUAGUUAAUUGAUAAGGAGGUAGAUGCCCGUGCACAGACAAAAGAGUAUAACUCUGCCCAAGGGCCUUCAGAGGGUUGUUGCAAAAUGGCAGGAAAACUACCCCAGAGUCCAGGGUGUGUAGGAAACUUGACUGAGUUUCCAUGCCAGGCAGGGAGCACCAAGACCUUCCAUUACCUGAUUCUGAGGCUCCUUACCAAUACCUACUGAUUCCUCAACUAAUUAAUUCCCUUCUUCCACUGUGGGCCACGAAUAAACGCA
rnacentral:lncRNA from 1 species